CACCUGCCCUCCCCAAGGUCAAGGCAAGUCAUGCCAUGUCUCUGCUGCACAUUUCCCUUGCCCAGAAAAGGCAGUGUGACAGCUGCUUUGCAGGACUGGUUUAGGAAUUCGGAGAAAAUUGCACAUCAAACCAUUAGCAUUGUGUCUGGACCAAACAUGUCCAAUAAACGGUACUUAUUGUCAUCAUUAUUUCCAGAUAAAUGUCCAGUGGACAGCUUGAUAUGGUGUGCAAGCCUAGAAAAAAGUCUGUGUCAACUACGUCAAGAAGACGUUUCCUCAAACAUGAUCCGUGGAAAACUUUCAUGCCUGUUGCUUUGGGCCAGUGGAAGGGUUAUACUUCCAACCUUCACGUUUUAAAAGGGCCUGGGGCCAAGAUGUGCAGAGAAGCUGGAGGUUCACGUACGUCACUCAGCGUGUCUCCUCAUUUCUCUUCUGCACCCGGGUGCUGCAGUCUCUCACCUGGGGUCCAGGGCUCCUGUGGAGGUGUGAGGAUGGUCUUUUAUAUCACUUUUUCCUUGAGGGGACACAGGCUGCGGCCUCCUGUGGUACCAUCUCACUGAUGUCCUCUUAAUCGAGUCAUUACAUCAUUAUCCACCAUCCGGAAAGCCCUCAUUAAAACCUGUAGGAGACACAGACCACUUUCCUUGUUUUCUGGAUUUCUCAGCCUAGAGGCGUAGAUCUAGCGGAGU
rnacentral:lncRNA from 1 species